rnacentral:tRNA from 1 species
AUUCAGGUAGUUUAAUAAAAAUAUAGAUUUGUGGGAUCUAAGAUACAAAAAAAAUUGUUUUGAAUU